rnacentral:tRNA from 1 species
UGCGGCGUAGCUCAAUAGGAAAAAUAGAGCGUUCGUCUUGUAAACGAGAAGAUGUGGGUUCGACUCCCAUCGCCGCAG